AGUGAACGCUGGCGGUAGGCCUAACACAUGCAAGUCGAACGGCAGCACAGUAAGAGCUUGCUCUUACGGGUGGCGAGUGGCGGACGGGUGAGGAAUACAUCGGAAUCUACUUUUUCGUGGGGGAUAACGUAGGGAAACUUACGCUAAUACCGCAUACGACCUACGGGUGAAAGCAGGGGAUCUUCGGACCUUGCGCGAUUGAAUGAGCCGAUGUCGGAUUAGCUAGUUGGCGGGGUAAAGGCCCACCAAGGCGACGAUCCGUAGCUGGUCUGAGGGGAUGAUCAGCCACACUGGAACUGAGACACGGUCCAGACUCCUACGGGAGGCAGCAGUGGGGAAUAUUGGACAAUGGGCGCAAGCCUGAUCCAGCAAUACCGCGUGGGUGAAGAAGGCCUUCGGGUUGUAAAGCCCUUUUGUUGGGAAAGAAAAGCAGCAGGUUAAUACCCCGCUGUUCUGACGGUACCCAAAGAAUAAGCGCCGGCUAACUUCGUG
rnacentral:rRNA from 1 species